GAGGCCCUAAAUCAAGACCAGUGAUUUGCUGUAGCUGUUGGUUUCAAACAGGAGCCAAGAACAAGAUCUUCCUACAGUCUCUGGCCACUCAGCAUGCAAGUGGGAAUGGCUAGUUCAGUUGGACGAAACAGUU